UACGUAGGGGGCAAGCUUUGUCCGGAUUUAUUGGGCGUAAAGAGCGUGUAGGCGGUCAGGUAGGUCAGCUGUGAAAACUCGAGGCUCAACCUCGAGACGCCGGUUGAAACCAUCUGACUAGAGUCCGGAAGGAGGAGAGUGGAAUUCCUGGUGUAGCGGUGAAAUGCGCAGAUAUCAGGAAGAACACCCGUGGCUAAGGCGGCUCUCUAGUACGGUACUGACGCUGAGACGCGAAAGCGUGGGGAGCGAACAGG
rnacentral:rRNA from 1 species